CGGCUUCUCUGCUAGAAAAGAAGUUGCUAAGAUCUGCUUGGAUAACACUGUGAGCUCGCCACGUCAGCCUAACUCGAUCUAAUGGCUAUUAAAUUGACAACACAAAAAGCCAUAAACCACACAAACGUCGACGUUAGAGUACUAACGUCAACACUGGUUCGAUUCAAAUCUCGAGUCUCCUCGCAUCUCCCUCUCUCUCUUUGCCCAAUUUCCUCCUUCCCCUCACCAUCUAAUCGUGAACUGAAUCGAACAAGAUCAUGGUGGAAGUCGUCGGAGCUGAAGAAGCCGGUGUCAUGGUCAUGGUGGAAGUACUGCUCGACGGGAACCGGAACAGGAACGUAAUCGUAGACUUGGGCGUGUAUUUCAAUUUAAUUGAUUUGGGUGUAUUUCAAUUUAUUGGAUUUGGGCGUGUUUUGUUGGGAGGUUGUAGGAAUGAAUUCUAAAUUGUUUUGUUGAUGUAGUAGAUCGAAUUUCAAGAUUUUAUUCAUGGAGCUGAGCUGAUAGCUUCAAAUGAUACACUUCUGUUUGAUAGAAUGUCUGUGCAAAACCUUAAUCUCGAAUUCUGUCUUUUGUAGGUAGGAGGUUUUCCAAGUUGGUUGGAAGGAGGAAAUUGAGACUAUCUUAGCUUCUUGUUGUCUUGGCAGGAGACUGAUGGUGUGGGAUCUUAGCAGGUUUAUCAUGCUCAUGUUGUCAGUGACAAUUUGUACAAGAAGCCAUGUUGUUGUAGGACUCACUUUGAUCUCUACAACGAAAGAUCCCGUGAAGGAAUGAAAAUUAGAGCACAACAUGCUGGUUAGGAUAUGGAAGUGGAGCUGAUGAUGUUAACAAAUAGUCUCUUUUUCAUUGUUGAAGGCUGUUGGGUUUUGGUGAAGGUGUAAACUUUUACUUUUGGCCAUGACUCCAAUUUGGAAUGAAUUUUUAAGUUUCUAUGUAUGAAAAGAUUGUGCAGGACUCCAAUUUGGAGUGAAUUGAUAUGAAAAGUUUCUAUGUAUGAAGAAAUUCUGCAGAGUAUUAUUUACAUGAAUGAGAAUUUCAUUUUUUA